UGGGGAAUUUUGGACAAUGGGCGAAAGCCUGAUCCAGCAAUGCCGCGUGUGUGAAGAAGGCCUUCGGGUUGUAAAGCACUUUUGUCCGGGAAGAAAAGGUUUGUGCUAAUACCAUGAGCCGAUGACGGUACCGGAAGAAUAAGCACCGGCUAACUACGUGCCAGCAGCCGCGGUAAUACGUAGGGUGCAAGCGUUAAUCGGAAUUACUGGGCGUAAAGCGUGCGCAGGCGGUUAUGUAAGACAGAUGUGAAAUCCCCGGGCUCAACCUGGGAACUGCAUUUGUGACUGCAUGGCUAGAGUGUGUCAGAGGGGGGUAGAAUUCUAUGUGUAGCAGUGAAAUGCGUAGAUAUAUGGAGGAAUACCGAUGGCGAAGGCAGCCCCCUGGGAUAACACUGACGCU
rnacentral:rRNA from 1 species